rnacentral:pre_miRNA from 1 species
AGUGGGAUAACUGGAUCAAAUUGUGAUUCCAGUCCUAGUUUUUUUUUUUUGAGGAAUUUUCAUACUGCUUUCCAUAAUGGUUGUACUAAUUUGCAGUUCCAUCAGCAAU